GCGCUGUGGCGGGAGCGGAGGUAAGGCGAGGCCGUGCCUGGCUUCCAUGAUCUACCGCCUCCUUCAGCGAGGGGAGACUUGGGAAUUACUUUGCACAGCUGAUGGUGCACAGGGGACCAAGCUCCUAGAUGAAAACGAAGACUUGCUGAAAUCUGCAAGCUAUUCCCAGGCACAGAUUGCACCCUGAAUGCAUGUGGGCAGGAGCUGGAUGAAUAAGGAGGAGCCGAGUGAUCCUCUGCAUGAAAACCAAUAGCAGUUUUCCAUCUGGGUACAGUGUCAUCGUGCAGGAGUGAAGGAGUUCA